rnacentral:rRNA from 1 species
AUGCAUUGGUCAGACUGUAGACAUGUACUCCUCGUACAUAUCUGCACUAGCACGCCUCUGUUUCAUCACAUCGCGCAGGUGCAGCCGCCGCCCGACGCUUCUAGGUUCCUUGUCGGCGCUGCGCCGUGGCCCUCCUCGCAUCUGGGUCUCCUCGGCUACGUGCCUCGGGUCUCCUCGGUUACGCGCUGCUCCGCGCAAGCACCCCUGCGGGCCCGACCUCCUCUGCCCUGGCUCGACGCACCCAUGCUGCCUCAUCGGCGUCGCUCUGGCCGAGCGCCUCCGCGCCUACGCGGCCAUCGUGCUGUCGCGUCCCGUCACGGCUUCCGGCGGCUCGCCUCAACAGACGGCCGGCUCCGUCCGCCUCCAGACGACCACCCCAGGCAGGCUGCGGGUAGCCAGCUCCUCCGCGCGCGCAGGGUCGACGCACCCCGCCUGCUGCCCUGCCUCGUCUCCCAUGCACGCGUGCCUGGCAGCCGAGGCCAUGGCCGCUGCACAACCAUGCCCGGCGCUGCGUCCCAUCGCCGUCCUCUACUCCGAGUGCUCCCAAGCGCCGCAUCCGGCCUCGCCUGGCCUCCGCCGACUCCACCGCCUCGGGCCGCCGGCUCCGACCCGAGUGCCCGCCUCGCCGGCAUCUCCACCCAAGCCGGACCUCCUUGCCGCACGCGCCGGCCUCGCGCGGCGCCAGGUUCCUGGUCACUUCGCCCCCGCUGCGCGCGGGCCUCCUUUGGCCCCGCACUCCGGCUGCGCAGUUCCCGGUCCCGGCCACCCCCGCGCUCAUCCGGCUUCUCGCACGCGCCCCCGGCCGCCUCGCGCCACGCCGGCUGUCACCACGGCCGCCUGCUCCGGCUGAUCCACCCGCGCCGUCUGCUCCGCUCCACCCACGCAGGCACCCGGUCGGCCUCUGCCGCGCCCUCCGCCUCCACCGGCUCCGGGUGGCCGGCUCGCCGCCACGCCUCCGCCAGCACUCGGCUCGCGCCAAGCGGCCCCCACUGUUCGCUGCUGCCGCCUUUUGCGGGCGGAAAGAACGAAAAGAAAGUGAGGAGUCCGGGAGAAAAGUCAAGAGCCCGGCUGGUAAAAAAAAGUAGGCCGAGAAAGAAGUGCCCGAGCGAAAAAAAAGAGGAGCUGUGUCCGAUUGCUCAAAGCCCUUUGAGAAAAAGAAAAGGGCCGACUGCCCGAGUUCCGGCUGAAAAAGAAGAAAAGAGUGAGAGAGAUGUGUGUUCGACUGCAUGCAACCGGCUGAAAUAUGCGUCCGACUGCUGA